rnacentral:rRNA from 1 species
AUGUCGUAUGCACCAGCAAUCCAAACGAAGCCGACAAGAGGAUCCGCGAGAUCAGGAGGAGGCUCGGCGGCAUGCUUUCUCGGUCAAUCGCCGUUGAUGUCGAGUAUACGAGGGAAGAUGAACCUCCGCAAAAGGCUGCAGUUCUACAGUUAUGCGUGGAGGAUCUCGUCCUGGAGAAGAAGUUGUACACCUUUGUUGGCUUCUCCAUUGGAGGUGACAAGGAGAAGCUGA